UAGAGGGUUAAAUGUGCGACCGUUGUGACACGGAUCCAGUCGCUUCAUUUGUAUUGGUUGCCACCUAGAGGUUAGUAUUAAAAAUGCAACAUGUAGGGGACGCCGGGGCUGGUUGUCACUUGGAAAGUGGGUGGUUCUAAACCAACCCGUGACAAAUCCUCAGCCUAAGCCCAAGAUGCAGGCAUGCAGUUCAAGAUCGGGAUUGUGUCUGGGUUAAUGGCAACAAGCAAUGGCAUUGUUCAGUUUUUAGGAGAGAGCCAGUUUGCUCCGGGCCAAUGGGCUGGCAUUGUGCUUGAUGAGCCAAUUGGGAAAAAUGAUGGUACGGAGUCUGGUGUGCGCUAUUUUCAGCGUGAAGCAUUAAAGGGUAUUCUCACACGUUUCUCCAAGCUUUCACUCACUGAAAGUGAGGCAGAUGACACAACAACAUCUCCUCUGUCUCGUGCUGCGUCACCAUCUACCUCUAAUGCAUCAGUAUCGCCUUCCACCAAGAAACCAGUCACACCUACAAAAACAGUUGCACCUGUAAAGAACUACAGGUUACACAGAAAAGAGCUACAGGUUAGCAUUGAAUUGGGCGGUAUGUGAAAAAUCCCACUACUUAUUCUACACCCCACACUUCACGGUAUAACCAACAACAACCUCUUGACUUAUGUGAUGAAAGCUCAACGCGGUACGCCAUCCGUGUCUGGGUUAAUGGCAACAAGCCGAGCAUUGUUCAGUUUGUAGGAGAGAGCCAGUUUCCUCCGGGCCAACGGUCUGGCAUUGUGCUUGAUGAGCCAAUUGGGAAAAAUGAUGGUUCGGUCUCUGGUGUGCGUUAUUUUCAGUGUGAAGCGUUAAAGGGUAUUAUCACACGUCCCUCCAGGCUUUCACGCACUGAAGGUGAAGCAGAUGACACAAUGACAUCUCCUCAGUCUCGUGCUGCGUCACCAUCUACCUCUAAUGCAUCAGUAUCGGCUUCCAGCAAGAAACCAGCCAGACCCACUAAAACAGCUGCAUCUGCCUCAGACCUGGUGCGGUUGAAAAGUGAAUUGGUGUCAAAUCAAAGAAAGGUGAUGGGGAGCUGAAGAUCAAUGAUCGAGUGCUGAUCAGUCAGAGCCAAGCACCUGUGCUGUUCAGCCCUCGUACACACAUACCGGCUUGGAGCCAGACCCACAAAGUCAGGUAACCGCGAGCUGUGACGGAGUGCGUGUGACCUCCACCUCCUGAGCUGGCCCAACACUACGACCCUGGGUUUUGGCAGCAGAGGUCCUGGUGAAACAAACAGAAAUAUGUCUGUCAAUUGCUGAGAUUCAUCGCUCACUUCUAGCUAUAAACGACAUGUUGAAAGAGAUAAAUAAGAACCUGAAAAGUACAUCACAUAAAUGAAAAAUUCACUAAA